rnacentral:rRNA from 1 species
CAGUAGCCGCGGGAAUACGGAGGGGGCUAGCGUUGUUCGGAAUUACUGGGCGUAAAGCGCACGUAGGCGGCUUGGUAAGUUAGAGGUGAAAGCCCAGGGCUCAACCCUGGAAUUGCCUUUAAGACUGCCGAGCUAGUAGGUGAGAGAGGUAAGUGGAAUUCCGAGUGUAGAGGUGAAAUUCGUAGAUAUUCGGAAGAACACCAGUGGCGAAGGCGGCUUACUGGCUCAUUCUAGACGCUGAGGUGCGAAAGCGUGGGGAGCAAACAGGAUUAGAGACCCCCGUAGUCCCUGUCUCUUAUAC